rnacentral:miRNA from 10 species
GUGCAAUAGCAGGCCCCGGAUGCG